rnacentral:rRNA from 11 species
GGGAUAGUGUACCUAAUCAGACUGCCAAGAAAACCUGCUAAGCGUUUUAAUUUUACUAUCACCCGUACCGCAAACCGACACAGGUAGUCAAGGAGAGUAUCCUGAGGCGCUCGAGUGAAUCACGGCCAAGGAACUCGGCAAAAUGGUCCUGUAACUUCGGGAGAAGGGACGCUUCCUCCAGUGAUGGAGAAGCCGCAGUGAAAAGGCCCAGGCGACUGUUUAACAAAAACACAUGACUUUGCGAACGCGCAAGCGGAAGUAUAAGGUCUGACACCUGCCCGGUGCCGGAAGGUUAAGAGGG